CGGGCCCGCACAAGCAGCGGAGCGUGUGGUUUAAUUCGAUGCUACACGAAGAACCUUACCAGGGUUUGACAUGCAAGUGGUAGGAAGCCGAAAGGUGACCGACCCUUCGGGGAGCUUGCACAGGUGCUGCAUGGCUGUCGUCAGCUCGUGUCGUGAGAUGUUCGGUUAAGUCCGCUAACGAGCGCAACCCUCGCUGUGUGUUAUAUGUGUCACACGGGACUGCCGGUCUUAAGCCGGAGGAAGGUGGGGAUGAUGUCAAGUCAGCAUGGCCUUUAUAUCCUGGGCUACACACACGCUACAAUGGCCAACACAAUAGGUUGCUAAGCCGCGAGGUGGCGCCAAUCCAUAAAGUUGGUCUCAGUUCAGAUUGUAGGCUGCAACCCGCCUGCAUGAAGAUGGAGUUGCUAGUAACCGCAGGUCAGCUAUACUGCGGUGAAUACGUUCCCGGGGCUU
rnacentral:rRNA from 1 species